UUCUGAAAAGUUGCACAGGGUUUUGCCUUGGAACGCUGCCCACUUAUUGCCAACUGACGAAGCUUCAUCGAGGCUUCGCUAUACUCUUGAGCUCCCAAAGCAGCAGCGACAAUCAAAGAUGAGCGCAACCCGAAGAGGAGAUGACCUUCACCAGAAC